rnacentral:lncRNA from 1 species
AAUAUUGCCAGUCAUCUUGGGGAAGGCAUGGGAUUCAAAGGCUUCUGAAGAAAAUAAAUAAAAGAUAUUUAUGAAGUGACUUGGAAAUAUGAACUGCCCACAAC